GAUGAACGCUGGCGGCGUGCCUAAUACAUGCAAGUCGAGCGAACGGACGAGAAGCUUGCUUCUCUGAUGUUAGCGGCGGACGGGUGAGUAACACGUGGAUAACCUACCUAUAAGACUGGGAUAACUUCGGGAAACCGGAGCUAAUACCGGAUAAUAUUUUGAACCGCAUGGUUCAAAAGUGAAAGACGGUCUUGCUGUCACUUAUAGAUGGAUCCGCGCUGCAUUAGCUAGUUGGUAAGGUAACGGCUUACCAAGGCAACGAUGCAUAGCCGACCUGAGAGGGUGAUCGGCCACACUGGAACUGGGACACGGUCCAGACUCCUACGGGAGGCAGCAGUAGGGAAUCUUCCGCAAUGGGCGAAAGCCUGACGGAGCAACGCCGCGUGAGUGAUAAAGGUCUUCGGAUCGUAAAACUCUGUUAUUAGGGAAGAACAUAUGUGUAAGUAACUGUGCACAUCUUGACGGUACCUAAUCAGAAAGCCACGGCUAACUACGUGCCAGCAGCCGCGGUAAUACGUAGGUGGCAAGCGUUAUCCGGAAUUAUUGGGCGUAAAGCGCGCGUAGGCGGUUUUUUAAGUCUGAUGUGAAAGCCCACGGCUCAACCGUGGAGGGUCAUUGGAAACUGGAAAACUUGAGUGCAGAAGAGGAAAGUGGAAUUCCAUGUGUAGCGGUGAAAUGCGCAGAGAUAUGGAGGAACACCAGUGGCGAAGGCGACUUUCUGGUCUGUAACUGACGCUGAUGUGCGAAAGCGUGGGGAUCAAACAGGAUUAGAUACCCUGGUAGUCCACGCCGUAAACGAUGAGUGCUAAGUGUUAGGGGGUUUCCGCCCCUUAGUGCUGCAGCUAACGCAUUAAGCACUCCGCCUGGGGAGUACGACCGCAAGGUCGAAACUCAAAGGAAUUGACGGGGACCCGCACAAGCGGUGGAGCAUGUGGUUUAAUUCGAAGCAACGCGAAGAACCUUACCAAAUCUUGACAUCCUUUGACAACUCUAGAGAUAGAGCUUUCCCCUUCGGGGGACAAAGUGACAGGUGGUGCAUGGUUGUCGUCAGCUCGUGUCGUGAGAUGUUGGGUUAAGUCCCGCAACGAGCGCAACCCUUAAGCUUAGUUGCCAUCAUUAAGUUGGGCACUCUAAGUUGACUGCCGGUGACAAACCGGAGGAAGGUGGGGAUGACGUCAAAUCAUCAUGCCCCUUAUGAUUUGGGCUACACACGUGCUACAAUGGACAAUACAAAGGGCAGCGAAACCGCGAGGUCAAGCAAAUCCCAUAAAGUUGUUCUCAGUUCGGAUUGUAGUCUGCAACUCGACUACAUGAAGCUGGAAUCGCUAGUAAUCGUAGAUCAGCAUGCUACGGUGAAUACGUUCCCGGGUCU
rnacentral:rRNA from 1 species